UCUGUGUUUAACUGCCAAGCCUGCAGAACAACUUACACUUUGAAUGUCUUCAGUUUCUUUUCUUUAAAUACUGAAUCUUUACUGGUCCACACAGGUAUUUAACCAGUGUCUGUGUCUGAGAGAGAUUAGUAUCAUUACCUCUCUCUCUCUCUAUCUCUCUCUCUCUCUCUCUCUCUCUCUCUGUCACUCAGAGACACACACACUUCAACACAAAUGUUUUUAAUACUUCACUCUUUUCCUCUCCUAAUGUUGAACUGUGUUUUGUGUGUUUUUACUAAAAUAACAGUAUUAAAUGCUGUAUUGUUGCAGCUUCUGCCCUAGUUUUGUAUUGUAUAGUUUUGUGGGUGUGUCAGUAAUAUAUAACAUAAAAGUGUAAAAUGUCUUUAAAUUGAACAGUUGCUGCAUUUGUUUAUGUCAGUGUUCAUAUAAAACAAGUACAUCCAGUUUCAUACUGAGUUGCCAAGUUACCAACUUAUUAGUAAUGUUGUUAUUUUCUAUUUGUAUUCCUAUUAUUGGUAUUGUAGGUGAUAUUGAUAAUAGUUUUGGUGAGUUAAUUGUAAGUCAGUUAUCUGACAUGAGUUUCAUCAUACAGAUACGCCAAAGAUGAAACUGAUAAAUAACAAAACACUAUAUGAAAUUUGCAUGAGUUCAUUUUAUGAUCAGAUUUGACCAAACACAUUUUUACAAAACACAUCAUCACCCACUUCAUGUCUCUCAAACAAAUGCAAAUUGCCCACACAAAAUAUCAUCCAUUUUACAUUUCUGUCUCUUGUUUUUCCUUUUUUGGUGUGUGUUUGUUUCUAUGAGAGGAUCAUACAGAAUGAAUUCAGUUAUGUAGUGUGUAGUUUUUUUCUUCUUAAUUGCUUGGGUGAGAUGUUGGUGUUUUUAUAGAUUGUAUAUGUAGUUGUGUGUAGAACCGUAAGUGUGAGGAAGUUUUCUCCAUCUCUCUACAGAUUAUAUCACUGCAGUAUUACAGAGAGAGGCUGUAAAGCUCUGGUUAAAGCUUUGAAAUCAAAUCCUUCACACUUGAGAGAGCUGGAUCUGUAUGACAAUAAACCAGGAGAGUCAGGAGUGAAGAUGCUUUCUGCUCUACUAGAAGAUCCACACUGUAAACUGGAGAAACUACACUUCUGAAAACCACCUGCACUUGACCUGCUAUGAGCUUCUCAAACUCUGGGCUGAUGAGCAGAGGACGACGUCUUAUAGAACCUACAGAUUGUCUUGGUUGUCAAGUUUGUUCACUCAUUGGUCAAAUCUGUGAUCACAGAUGCAGGGAUUUCUUUAUUUUCCUGGAUACCAUUGGCUGCACCUCAGACAGUACAUCUGUCAAUCUCCUCACAUUUGAGGUUGACCCCACAUUGUUUAGAGGAACACAAGAUGCUCCUCUUCCUCUCAAAGCACCUGGACUCCUGGGAUCAACAUCAACCCUCUCAAACCAGUGGAAAUGUUGACAGACUCUCAUAAACUCACUGUAGAAAUCAAGACUGCAGCUGGGAGAGUUCAGUGUCCUUCAGGUUCCUGGAGGUCAGCGUCUCUGUUUAACACACAGUCAUUGUGUUGUAUGUGUCUGUCAGAAUCUCAUCAUAUGCUGAUUUGAUUAUGCAGAAUUCACAUGCUUGAACGGUUUAAGAAUAUACAGAGUGUGCAAGAGAGUGUUUCUUUCUCAUGUUAGGUUACUGUAUUUUCAGUUUUGAUUUGAUGUGUACUUUAUGUAAAGCCUUUUAAUUAUUUUAUGCACUGUUUUUUUCACCCUUAUUUUAAUAAUAAAAGUCUGGGGACAUAGUAA